AGGAAGGAGACUCCACGCCGGGAGUGCAGCCCACAGCUGUAGCUCCUGGCCGCCGCCUGCCCUGGAAAGCGAGACUGGUGGGUCUCGCUGCAGCCCCGCCCCUCGUCCUACUCUUCCCAAAAAGUGAGGGCAUGCUUUCCGCCACUUUUGUGACUCCGCGACUUAGCGAGUCAGAGACGAUCAUCAGCGACACCUCCCAGGUCCAGCCUCCAUUCCCGCCCCAUUUUACAUGGAGGAAACUCAGAUCUAAUGUGGUGGAAGUCACAAAGCCGGUCAGAGGC
rnacentral:lncRNA from 10 species